UGGGGAAUAUUGCGCAAUGGGCGAAAGCCUGACGCAGCGACGCCGCGUGGAGGAUGAAGGUUUUCGGAUUGUAAACUCCUGUUAAGUGGGAAGAAAGUUUCGUCUUUAAUAGAGGCGAAGUAUGACGGUACCAUUAGAGAAAGCACCGGCUAACUUCGUGCCAGCAGCCGCGGUAAUACGAGGGGUGCAAGCGUUAUUCGGAUUUACUGGGCGUAAAGAGUGCGUAGACGGUUUGUCAAGUCUGCUGUUAAAUUCUUCGGCUUAACCGAGGGUCAGCAGUAGAAACUGAUAGGCUAGAGUGUGGGAGAGAGAAGUGGAAUUCCCGGAGUAGCGGUAAAAUGCGUAGAUCUCGGGAGGAACACCGAUGGCGAAGGCAGCUUCUUGGUCCACUACUGACGUUGAGGCACGAAAGCGUGGGGAGCAAACAGGAUUAGAUACCCCCGUAGUCC
rnacentral:rRNA from 1 species